GCUUCUUAACCUCCGCACUAAGAAGUUAUUCAUUCACUCGUCCAUUUGUAAACAAACAUGUACACAGAUUGUUGUCGGUGUUGGGUUGAAUCUACCAGUGGUUUUAUCCUGUAAAGGCGAUAGAAGAACAUUUCUAUCGAGCAAGAAUACGCAAAAGGAUCAAACACUACAGGAACACAAAUAAAGCCAGACGAGAUACAAUACAAACCACAAAAAUCCGUGAGAUCUAGAUCUAUGGUAGAAUCGCAUUUCGUGAUUAGAUCUCGACCGGACGAGUAACAACAAUGCGUCAGCUGAAGGGAAAAGUGAAGGAAACGCGAAAGCAGAAGCGGGAGCGCAGACAAGACAAUGCGGAGAACAAACAAAUGCUGUUGAAAGUCGUCCUGCCUGUAGCGCUGGUGGUAAUCGCCUGCGUUGUGGGAUUUGUUAUGUACAAAACAAACUUUAAAUUAUAGAUGAAGUUACACAGUUAUAGUUGUUUAAAUUUCCAAUGUUCAUAGUUUGACAGUUAUAGUUAUUGCAUUUUUUCAUAGUGUAUGUUUUAACCUUGAUCUAAGUUUGUUUUGUUUGUCAAAUUGAAUCGUAUUUUUCUAAACAAUCAAGUACAUACAGUUUUAUCAUUGGAAAUAAUGCUCAAUAAAGAUGCACGAAUAAUACUCAAUGUUUAUGUUCGAAUAGCGUAUUAUUUGACCUAUUAAUAUGAAAUGCAGUGUGUUCAAUGUGAAUAUCGCAAAAUAUGUGACAUUUAUUUCAUGACAUCAAGAUUUUAGAAGAAAUCAAGCAAGACCAUGUUGGCAUUUGCUGUUUAUUUUAUUAAAAUUAUUUUAUGCAUUAAAUGAUGUCGUUGUGUAAAUAUUGUUACAUCACAGCUCGAAUAAUAAAUUAAUCUCACGAAAAUUAA